rnacentral:misc_RNA from 1 species
AAGUCGUAACAAGGUUUCCGUAGGUGAACCUGCGGAAGGAUCAUUAUAAAAUUUUCAUAUAUUAUUUAUUUAAUAUAUAAAAUUAUAUACAAAAUGUAUUCAAAACCCACACACUUUAUAACCAAAAAAAAAAAUAUUUUAAUAUAUAUAUAAAAAAACAACUUUCAACAACGGAUCUCUUGGCUCUC